rnacentral:rRNA from 1 species
GACGAACGCUGGCGGCGUGCUUAACACAUGCAAGUCGAACGGAAGGGCCCUGCUUUUGUGGGGUGCUCGAGUGGCGAACGGGUGAGUAACACGUGAGUAACCUGCCCUUGACUUUGGGAUAACUUCAGGAAACUGGGGCUAAUACCGGAUAGGAGCUCCUGCUGCAUGGUGGGGGUUGGAAAGUUUCGGCGGUUGGGGAUGGACUCGCGGCUUAUCAGCUUGUUGGUGGGGUAGUGGCUUACCAAGGCUUUGACGGGUAGCCGGCCUGAGAGGGUGACCGGCCAAAUUGGGACGGGGAAACGGCCCAGACUCCCAGGGGGGGCAGCAGGGGGGAAUUUUGCAAAAGGGGCGGAAGCCUGAUGCAGCAACGCCGGGGGGGGGAUGACGGCCUUCGGGUUGUAAACCGCUUUCGCCUGUGACGAAGCGUGGGUGACGGUAAUGGGUAAAGAAGCACCGGCUAACUACGU